UCCCCGAAGGGCAGUCCGGUCAGACACGAGUAACUGACCGCGGGGGUUGCGCUCGUUGCGGGACUUAACCCAACAUCUCACAACACGAGCUGACGACAGCCAUGCAGCACCGGUGCAGCACCCUCGAAGGCGGCUCCCUUUCAGAAGCUUGCAGCUGCAUGUCAAAUCUGGGUGAGGUUCUGCGCGUUGCGUCGAAUUAAACCACACGCUCCGCUGCUUGUGCGGGCCCCCGUCAAUUCCUUUGAGUUUUAAGCUUGCGCUCGUAGUUCCCAGGCGGGACACUUCUGCGUUAGCUCAGCCCCCCAAGCGGAAUGGGUACCGCCCAGAGGACCAGUGUCCAUCGUUUACGGCGUGGACUAC
rnacentral:misc_RNA from 1 species